AUCGACAAACGCAGAAAAUCUGCAACGUCUGCGGCAAAAGGUUCUGGAGCCUCCAAGACCUGACGAGGCAUAUGAGGUCACACACAGGAGAGCGUCCGUACCAGUGCUCCACCUGCGAGAGGACCUUCACCCUGAAGCACAGUCUGGUCCGACACCAAAGAAUCCACCUCAAACCGCGGUCCGAGGAUCUUAGCGACGAGCCGCGCAGCCAGGAGGCCGGUGAUGCAGUCUGCACACCUCAGGAGACGAGUGACACAGUCUGCACACCCCAGGAGACGAGUGACACAGUCUGCACACCCCAGGAGACGAGUGACACAGUCUGCACACCCCAGGAGACGAGUGACACAGUCUGCACACCCCAGGAGACGAGUGACACAGUCUGCAAUCCCCAGAGACCAGUGACUCAGUCUGCAAUCCCCAGGAGACCAGUGACUCAGUCUGCAAUCCCCAGGAGACCAGUGACUCAGUCUGCAAUCCCCAGGAGACCAGUGACUCAGUCUGCAUCCCCAAGAGACCAGUGA
rnacentral:lncRNA from 1 species